rnacentral:misc_RNA from 1 species
UAAGUAGCGAUGACGGACUUAUAAGUACUUGCAUAAAAAGCGAUUCAGGGAUAGUGAAAGCCUGAAGCCGCAAGGAAACGGCAGUCCCGAGCAAUACAUGAUAAAGUGGAUGCACCUUUUGUGUAUCAACUAGGGUGGAACCGCGGGCAAACGCUCGUCCCUAGG